AGCGAACGCUGGCGGCAGGCCUAACACAUGCAAGUCGAACGAACCCUUCGGGGUUAGUGGCGGACGGGCGAGUAACACGUGGGAACGUGCCUUUAGGUUCGGAAUAACUCAGGGAAACUUGUGCUAAUACCGAAUGUGCCCUUCGGGGGAAAGAUUUAUCGCCUUUAGAGCGGCCCGCGUCUGAUUAGCUAGUGGGUGAGGUAAUGGCUCACCAAGGCUACGAUCAGUACCUGGUCUGAGAGGAUGACCAGCCACAUUGGGACUGAGACACGGCCCAAAGUCCUCGGGGCGGCAGCAGUGGGGAAUCUUGCGCAGUGAGCGAAAGCCUGACGCAGCCAUGCCGCGUGGAUGAUGAAGGUCUUAGGCUUGUAAAAUCCUUUCACCGGUGAAGUUAAUGACUGUAGCCGGAGAAGAAGCCCCGGCUAACUUCGUGCCAGCCGCCGCAGUAAGAC
rnacentral:rRNA from 1 species